rnacentral:rRNA from 1 species
AAUCAACGCUGGCGGCGUGCCUAACACAUGCAAGUCGAGCGAGAAAGGGGACUUCGGUCCCUGAGUAGAGCGGCGGACGGGUGAGUAACACGUGGGUAAUCUACCCUCGGGUGGGGAAUAACUCAGGGAAACCUGGGCUAAUUCCGCAUGAUAUUUUCGAUGCAUACGUAUUGAAAAUCAAAGCUGGGGACCCUUCGGGGCCUAGCGCCUGAGGAGGAGCCCGCGGCCAAUUAGCUUGAUGGUGAGGUAAUGGCUCACCAUGGCUUCGAUUGGUAGCCGGCCUGAGAGGGCGGACGGUCACACUGGGACUGAGACACGGCCCAGACUCCUACGGGAGGCAGCAGUGGGGAAUUUUUGUCAAUGGGGGAAACCCUGAACAAGCAACGCCGCGUGAAGGACGAAGACCUUCGGGUUGUAAACUUCUGUCGGAGGGGACGAAGGCAGUAUUGGUUAAUACCCAGUGCUGUUGACGGUACCCUACGAGGAAGCCCCGGCUAACUCCGUG